rnacentral:lncRNA from 1 species
CUGCGGACCACAGCCACUCUACCUUGUAGCAUUGGGUUCAGUGAUUGUCUCCUGCCUGGGUGUACCUAGUCUGAGGGUUCCUUUGCUAUUCAGAUGUGCCCCAGGACUGAUCUAAGUGCCUUCUAGUGCAUAGAAUUUUACAGCCCGAAAGAAAACGUAGAGGCCAUUUAGCCUGACCAUGCUUCUGCCUGCCCUUCUGUGUCAUUUUCUUUUUCUUUUUUGAGGCAGGGUCUUGCUCUGUCACCCAGGCUGGAGUGCAGUGGCUUGAUCAC